rnacentral:rRNA from 1 species
GACGAACGCUGGCGGCGUGCUUAACACAUGCAAGUCGAACGGAAAGGCCCUGCUUUUGUGGGGUGCUCGAGUGGCGAACGGGUGAGUAACACGUGAGUAACCUGCCCUUGACUUUGGGAUAACUUCAGGAAACUGGGGCUAAUACCGGAUAGGAGCUCCUGCUGCAUGGUGGGGGUUGGAAAGUUUCGGCGGUUGGGGAUGGACUCGCGGCUUAUCAGCUUGUUGGUUGGGUAGUGGCUUACCAAGGCUUUGACGGGUAGCCGGCCUGAGAGGGUGACCGGCAACAAUGGGACUGAGAGACGGCCCAGACGCCUACGGGAGGCAGCAGUGGGGAAUAGUGCACAAUGGGCGGAAGCCUGAUGCAGCAACGCCGCGUGCGGGAUGACGGCCUUCGGGUUGUAAACCGCUUUCGCCUGUGACGAAGCGUGAGUGACGGUAAUGGGUAAAGAAGCACCGGCUAACUACGUG